CCUACGGGUGGCAGCAGUCGAGAAUCAUUCACAAUGGGGGAAACCCUGAUGGAGCGACGCCGCGUGGGGGAAUGAAGGUCUUCGGAUUGUAAACCCCUGUCAUGUGGGAGCAAAUUAAAAAGAUAGUACCACAAGAGGAAGAGACGGCUAACUCUGUGCCAGCAGCCGCGGUAAUACAGAGGUCUUAAGCGUUGUUCGGAAUCACUGGGCCUAAAGCGUGCGUAGGCGGUUUCGUAAGUCGGGUGUGAAAGGCGCGGGCUCAACCCGCGGAGGGCAGAUGAUACUGCGAGGCUAGAGUAAGGGAGGGGGAACCGGAAUUCUCGGUGUAGCAGUGAAAUGCGUAGAUAUCGAGAGGAACACUCGUGGCGAAGGCAGGUUCCUGGACCUUAACUGACGCUGAGGCACGAAGGCCAGGGGAGCGAAAAGGAUUAGAUACCCCUGUAGUC
rnacentral:rRNA from 1 species